UUCUCUUUUAUUACCGUCUACGGAGUAGUUCUUAUUACAUUAGUACAUUAUUUAUGGAACACACACCAUGACUAUGUAGUGUUAACAUACAUCAACAACCACACUCAUAUCACCGUGGUAUACACACUCUCGAGGAUAUUUCGUUUGGAAUCUAGUAGAAGCCGGGCCCAGGCAUGGUCUUCUGGAAGGGACAAAUGCUAACUUGCCUGAUGUUGCAAACUCUUGGUAAGUGCGUAGCAGUCUGGUAGAUACGGCUAAUUACUUGCUGCAUCUGCUGUCCCUGCAUUUGUUGUCCCUGUUGUUGUCGAACCUGUUGUUUAACGGCUUUGGAUGCUCCUUUCAAGGUUGGGCAAACGCAAAGUGGCUCUUCCUGGUGGAGCUCGUUGCAGCACUGCUGGAGUAGCGGUGGCCUCUGCUGUGGGCCCUGUUGUUGGUUCUCCACGUCGUCUUCAAAAUCAAACUCACCGUCGAGAGUCCAGCUUGGACCACUACCACCACCGGGCUGCAUUGCCUGCUUGUGGAGCCAUUGUUGGCAAGCUCUUAGGUGUUGUGCUUGCUGAAACUCCUUUCUACAUUUUGGAAUCCUAAAUGGGCCGGCUGGAUUUGUGGCAUCAUCUUCGUCGACUUCCACAACCGUCCUGUAGACGGAGGCAUUGGUGAGAAGGAAGAACAAGGCGAGAGUUGCCGAGACGAGGAAGAGCUUGUUCGCCAUUUGUGUAUGUUUUGUAGUGAUGAGUUUUGGUUUGAGUAAAAAGUGAAGCCGAGCCUCUAAUUUAUAGGUGAGAAUGGAGAUUUGCAUGGCGAUCACGUGUAAAUAUUGCAUGCAUAUGUGUGUGUGCUGUGAGAGAGAAGCUCUUUUAGGUGUUUGAAGUGAGUGACAAAUCGUCCGCAUCUGCAUGCUAAUAUGUGAUGUGUAGCUCAUGUCCUGGCGUGACAUCUUAUGAACGAUAUUUUUCAAAAAAGAAGGUAAAAACUUAAACUUCAAAAAAUAAAAACUUAAUGAGAAUUCAGAACAUAGUCCACAAGUCAUUACCUUGAAGAAAUGUUUUUUUUAGUGUGAUAGAUUCAGCACAAUUGGCACAGAAGGUGGCAACUCCGAGUGAUUCGACAUUAUUAAAAAUAUAAGAUUUGAAUAUUUUGGUUUGGUGUGGCUUUCUCACAUUGCACUUAUCAGAUAUUCAGACACUGAGAAAGAAACAGAAACAUAUCUAAAGACGCAUUAAACAACGCAAAUGGAUGAUAUCAAUAAGAUAAAAGCACACACUUGAAGGGCUUUAAAAAGCUCUCAAAUCUUUCUACUACUCAAUUGCAUCUUCUCUUUUGUUACUCGUACAUACAUACCAAGACACAUCCCUUUCAUCACAUUCAACCAAAGAGACUGCGUCUGGUUUUACGUCUUUGAUUGGUAUUAUGACGACCCUGAGGCUCGCUCCAAUUGUCUUCGGCUUUCUAACACAACACAUGAUGCUUAAGUGUGUAUCAUCAGCACACUGUCCUGCCAUAGCAUAUUGAUGCAAUGUACAGAUUCUUCGCCCAUUUGUCCUGAAAAAAAAAAAAUUCAACCAAAAGCUCUCAGGUCCUAUGUAUAUGGAAACAAAACAAAAAGAUCCAAAUCUGUGUUCAAAGCUAAAGAAACCAACCUUGACAUGAGUACUUGGAAAGGCGGUGGUGCGGAGAGUCUCUUGAGUUUCAUCCACCAUCUUACGCUUUGGUAUGCUUAAUAUGAAAGCUGCUUGAUCCGCAGUUGCUGCCAUUGAUGUUAUUCUAUACCCAUUCUCCCACCUCCUAUGUAUCCCAUCGCUUGGGUACAAAAAGUCAAGCUCCACCACCUUUCACAACGCAGAGUUUAUCAUAUUAGACUAUCAGGGGAAAAUAAAAACACCAGACAAUAAGAGACAAAAACCUACCUGAUCAGAGAAGCCAGAGUUCCUCGACAUUACCACACCCCAACGAUUACCAGCAGUUGUCAUGGAGGUUACAUGAAAAUCUUCUUUCCAUUUCUUAUUUAUCCACUUGAAUGGAAAUGAGUCACUCACUUUGUAUGACUGCUGAGAAUAAGUAGUUCCUACCAAUUCACAACAAGUAUAUAAAUAAGUCAAUGAAGACUUUUUGAUAAUAAGUUUAUUAUUCACUAAACACUAACCUUUUGACAUAACAACUAAAGAGCUCCCGUUAUCUGAACCCGCUAUGGAGCUUAUAUAGUAGUUCUUUUCCCAUUGUUCCAUAAUCCAGUCCUGCGGGGAAAUCAUAAGGUAAGUUCUUCUUAGUUUACUACAAAUCAGAUUGAUUCUUAAUUGCUUCAACUGAUUAUUACCUUGUGUAGGAAGACCGGUGACAACUCAUAAACUUGAGAAGUGAAUCCAGUUCCAGCAUCCAUGAUGAGAGCCCAGAGAUUAGCUGCUGAUGCUACACAGCUAAUCAAAAGGCCAUCUUCAUUUCCCUUCUGUAUAUGCUGGCGCAGCCUUGUCUCUCCAACAUUGUAGUGAUAUCUACCAAAAGAUUACACAGUUAGUGAGGAACUAUCAAAGUGUAUAUGCAAAAAAUGUGUUACCUCUGUUUCAUGGGACGACGACCGUUAUAGACUGAGAUCCAUUGAGUAGCAGGACUGCCUAUUCUUAUUUUCUUCUUCGGCUGUUCAUCAUCUUCCAAAUUGAGAAGCAAUCUUCCUCGUUUUUGCCCAACCUACAUAUGCCAAAAGAAGCACUUUCAGAGAAUAUUUAUACACAAGUUUAGAAGUUAAUCAUAUGAACAAGAAAACAGCCAGCAACCUUUAGAGCUCCAUCAAUUCUAAUUGGUCUAGAUAGAGCGCACGGCUCAAUUAGAGUAUCGAAAAGAGAAAUAAGCUUCCCAUAGUUGGGCUCCUCGUCAAACUUCAUGUUAGUGACUGCCUCGAGGAAUAGCUUAAACGGUGGUGGACAGAAACAGCACAUCAGCUCAGCAGAAGUUGACAUCUUUUUCUUGGAAACAAGAAAGCUCUUGUUAUCACCCUGCAAAGGCAGCAAACAAUAUAAUUGACUACAAUGAAGAAGAUGAAACCGGAUAUAGAUUACUGUAAGGUCAUGAGAGGAAAUAAAAAUAUACCUGGAAGCCUUGCCAUGGCAAUCUUCCCUUCAAGAGAAAAAUUAAAGUAUAAGCCAACGACUCCAGAUCAUCUCUCCGGCUUCCAGUACGACCUAGAUGUGCAUUGACACUUGCAUACCUUAUUGUUCCCCUGCAUUUGAAACGUUAUAAACAUGUAAAGAAGUAUGAUAUAUAUUUAUAUAUACAGGAAUUAGUAUUUAGUAUAUGUACACACUAAUGACAAUACCUGAACACAUCAGGUCUUUGAUCAUAUUCAACAUGCAGGCCUGAGUGCGAAUCUUUCCAUUUUGAUGCUGAAACAAAGGAAAGAUUAUGUGAACACUACUGCAAAUAUCAACCACUUCAAAUAUCACAUGAAACAUAAGAGAAGGAACUAGUACAUAAAACUCACCUAGACCAAGAUCGAUAAGGUAGAGUUUUUUCUCAUCAGCUGUUCCAGGUUGACCGAGUAAAAAGUUUUCGGGCUUCACAUCUCCAUGGACAAACCUAGUUUGAUAUAAGAAUGGAACAUGACAUGAAAAUCAGCUCAACGAAAGCAUAUUGUGGUAAUAAUAACUGAACUGGUUUACACUAACCCUUUCAUAUGAAAUUUCUCGAGAAUGGAAAUGGACUCAACAGCAAUGCACGCUACCAUGUUAGGAGACAUCCUGCCACAUGUCAUGAACAUGGAUCAUUAGUUAGAAUUUCGCAAAGAGAAGAAAGUGUGGUGAAAGGAGAAAGGUGCUUACGAUUGCCCUGAAGAAUUCCAAACAUCCCAGAGACUUGGACCAAGCAUGUCCAUAACCUGAAAAAUUUAUUAAAACGUUUCUCAGUACAUAAUAACACGGUCAAUCUCGAAGUAUAAUUAGUUUGUUCAUAGUAAAAUACAUACAAGAAUGUAAAAAUCUCCUUGACGACCCUUAUGAUGUACCGCAGGAACUCCAUAGCAACCGUUGAGCGUACUUCACAACCCAAGGAGAGAAGAGAAGAAACAUAUGAGAUGAAAAAUAAGUUGAUAAAAGAACCUUGGCAUGAAAAUUAAGAUAGAGUGUAGGCAAGUCUUACUUGUACACUUGCCACUCGUAAGGUGGGCCAAAAUUGCAUCCUUUGCUAUUACGGUGCUCAAAUUUCAGAGCCACCUGAAAAAAGAAAACAAUAUUUAGUUUUUGGUAAGCCUUUGACUUCUUUCUUCUAUGAGCCUUGUAAAUUUUCAGUAUGCUUCUCAACAACAUACCUCAACAGCAUCUGCACCAAUCCUAUCGCUGCCACCACUCACCCUUCUACCAACAAAAACUUGACCAAAGCCUCCCUUACCGAGUUUCCUUUCAGUCUUAUAAACCGGAGAGUUUCCAACUUGUACCUAUACACACACAAACAAGAAAUCAAAAUCAACAUCUCUCUACACCGAACAAGCUCGGUGAUUGAAAUGUCAUUAGAUCAGCAUCAAUUUUACCCUUUCAGGGACUGGAGCUGAGCUUAAAUCUUCUUCAACAGCAACUACUUUAUCUGCGCUACCACCUUCCAUAGCGUUAUCUUUAUCAGCUGCUACCCCUUCGACUUGAUUAAAAGCAGGUUCGCCUACUACAGGCUCUGCCUCUAAAUCUAUUAACCUGAUGCCUCGACCUCUACCAGCAGCAGCACCAGUGGGUCUCGGAGGAGCUGCGUUUCCCCUUCCUCUACCACCACCUCUUCUCCUUGUUGCAGGCUGACGAGGAAGCUCAAUAUUCUCCGCCUGUUCAAUCGCCUGAGGGUUAGGUUGUCUCAAUCUACGUGCUCCACUUCUUAACUCUGGCAUUCUUACUCCAUACAAAGAGUAAGAAGAUCUUUUGCUUUAAGUGAUCUGCAGCACAAAGAGAAGAAGCAGAGGGUAACUAUUUAGUUGAAUCAUAAGGUGAGUGAAACAGUGGCUUGCACUUUGAGCAUUCUUUUUUUUUCCAUCAAAUCACUUUAUUGUCAUCCCUAUACAGUAGCAUUUUCCAAUCAAACAGAGAAGCAAUCAAAAUCACAAUAUUCAAACAAUAAAGUCAUCAGCUUUAAUCAUCUAAGAAUACAUAUUAAUCAACACACAAAACUUCUGGUGACUCUCAUCUUCACAGAAGCAUACAAACCAGCUUAAAAGGUCAAAAGAAUCAAACUUGGAUUCAGUCAUCAGCUAAAAACAAGAUCCUUUCAUAAAAACACUUAUAAACUUUGAAACACAACAACCACCAACGAAUCUAAACGAUACGUCAAAAACAUUCUACUCGAUGAAGGAUUAGAGGUGAACCUUCACAAAAGGAACGAUGAUCGGACUAUGAUGAUGAAGAUGGAAUCGGUUUUAAAAAAAGUCUAAAACUUUCAGAUCUCCUUUGAAAAUUAAGAGAAACUGAUAGCUCCUCCAACUACGGCGAUUUAAAUGUUAGAGCUUUUGUAGGUGUGAAGCAGACAAAUAGAGAGAAAGAUACAAACUUUAGAUAGAUUUAGGGUUACAAAUAGUGAAGAUGAAGAUGAGAGAGGUGCAGAUUUGAGGUAGGAUUCUUUUUUGGCAAAUAUGUUUUUUUUUUUAAGAAGGAUUGAGCAACUUUAGAAAAAAACUUUGGUCUUGACCCAAAAAAAUAAGAAAAAACUUUGGCAUAUAUUUGGUGAAGAUUUUUAUUUUAUUUUAUUUCCAUUGUUUAUUUGAAAAAGCUAUAUUAAAAAUAAAUUUAGACUUGUAUCGUCCAAUGUUAACCGAAAAUUAUUUCUCAAUUGAAAGAAAAGGUUAGGCCAUUUCGCUUUCAUAAGCAAUUUAAUUGGAAAGGUAUACCAACCGAAUUUUGAAUCAUUCCAUAUGUGUAGGCUUGGUGAUGACUGAUGCCAGAGACAUCGCAUCUGUAGUGGUGGUGAGUGGAUCAACAUGCAAGUCAUUGUUGCUAAUGGUUCACAACAGAUUACUAGAAACAAACUGUUUCUUUGGUCAAUGUCUAUGCUUCUUGUAAUUAAAAAGGUACACAAAAGAAAUGAGUACAAACUCAGGAAAUAACACUUGCGAGAGUACAUACAUAGAAAACACAUAUCUCUCUCCCUCUUAUCUAUACGGCGAGUUCAUCUUCAAGAUAACUGUAUUCAAACGUGAACUCGUUUUUGAUCCUUUGAACCCUAUACAGAGUUUUCAUAAAAGUAAAAAAAACAUUAUCAUCUUUAGCGACUUAGAAAAGAAGACGAUGAUAUAAAAAAACAAGAAUCGAAUCAUUACCAUCCACCAUCUCGAUUCUCGUCUUUUGGGGUUUGGAAAUCAAAGUAUACAUAGGCUCCUUGUUCAUACUCAUCAGUUGCAAUCGUUGGCUCCUUAUGUCUUUGAAACCACGUGUUGAACUUUCUGUGGUAUCUCCAUGACUGUUUCUUCAGCUCUUUUGCAGCUAGAUACUGCUGAUACGAGUUCUAAGCAAACCCAUGAAAACAAGAGCAUCACUUUAACCGAUAAGGCUAAGGGGGGAAAUUGUUUGAUAAACAAAAGAUGGAAAGUUGAGUUUUUGAUACCUGCUGAUAGUAAAAUGCAAAGAACAAAGGCUCGGUUCCAAAAGCAUCGCUGCCUAAACGUUCCCAGAACAAAGGGUUGCUUACGAUUGGCGCUUGUGUUUGGGGAAAUGAUUGAGGUGUGAUUGCUGGGUUCCUCUGCUCAAACACAUAUCGAAUUUUUAAGGGAAUCUUAUGAAGUGAAGAGGCCAAAAGUGAAUUCAGAAGAAUAAUGUACCGGAGUAUAGGGUCUAGGACGUUCUGAAUCUUUGGGUUGAGGAAGUCUGUAGAAAGCAGCUUCAAGCAUCUGGAGAUUGUGCAUCUGAUCGUUCAUUGGCCCUAAAGCUGAAGGUUCACCAAUAGUUCCUAGUUCAGAGUUACUUCUACGUCCAAUGACCCCGUGGCUACUUGAAGGUUGGCCGGGUUGUAUGGGUUGUCCGGGAGAGAAAUCAGGGCCGUCCCUAGUUACCUGUACUUGAUCCAACAUGUAGCUGGGCAUUCCCGACUGUAGAUACGACAAUAAGACACAAAUUAGGUAGGAUAAGAGGCCAGCCUUAGAUAGUUGUUUGGUUAAAUAGAAUACAGCUAUUGCUAUUAGGUGUCUCUAUAUUAGACCACAUUCACUAAUGAAUUGCAUAUGUGAAGUUUAAGCGAAGGAAUGACAAAUCAAAACACUCACCAACACCGACAAAAACACAAUAUUUUUAUUAAUUUUAAACUUCUCGGUCAAAUCUAUCUGAUGGAAAGCGUAUAUCAAAGAUAAACUAACGACUAAUAAAUUUUAGCGCAGAUCAUGCUUACCGGAUUAUCAAAUAGACCUUUAGAAUCAUCCUCGUUUGGAAUAGUUUUUGAAGCUGCCAUGGAAGUUGAAUCAUCAGGUAAGUUUUGUUGCAGCUGAUCAUCAUUUCUGGCAUGAUCUACAUCUGCAAAAACAUCAAGAACAUGUCUCUUACUUUUUCGUCUGUAUUUUCAAGAUUUGAAACCAAAAACUGAGUUCCAACAACUCUAGGGGGGGUUUAAUUAACUGCCAGGAGGUGUUGAAUUGAACUCCUUCACAUGUGGUUCAACUUCAACAGAGAAUGAUUAUAAUCGAAUAAUAUGAAUAUUAUAUUUUACCACAGAUGUUAGUUAAUAUGCGCAGGAAUAGUGUCUAUUGACAAUCAUACCAUAACCAACUGAGCUAUCUACACAAUGAUAUUUACCUGCACCAGAAGGCUGCUGACCAAAUUGUUGAGUCAUGGCAUUUGACGAGUGCUGCAAGGAGGCAGAACUCAUGACAUUAAACCCUGGUGCCUGAAUUCCCGAGCCACCAUGAGGAGAGAUGCCAGAGCUCUAAGAAAUAGAUCAGAAAAGACAAUCUCUUCUUAUGAUGCAAUAUUUUGGGUAUCAUAAACCAUGUAAUUGGACCACAAAAUUUAAAAUAAUCGCCCUCAAGACCUGGCAAGUACACAACCUACAAAAAAACGCUACCUGCUGUAAAAGCGGAUUUUGCUGUUGUGAAGAAAACUGCUUCUCGUUUCCUCCGGAUAGAGAAGCCAUGCCUAAGAGGUUACCAUGGCCUUGUUGUAGUUGCUGGUACAGCUGUAAGUAAUUCUCCCUUUGAUCUGGUACUAUUUCAGUUCUUCCACGGACCUAGAUGUGAAACAACAAACCAUAACAUUGUUCAGACUAACAACUUAUACAGUGCAAAGGUCCUACAGAUCCUUGGUAUAAUAGUCGAAUUCAAGACACGCACCGUUUCAUUCUGACUCUGAAAGGGACUCCCAGGCCUCCACUGCGAACCAGAUACAAUAGACGGUGAAUAAGCUCUACCAAUGCUUGCCGCAACAUCACUAGGGUUACUAUCAGAGACAGUUCCAUCAUUACCCUUCACAGCUGGUGGUAAUACCAUUUUGCUGAGCGGAGAGGUUAGAGGUUGGACAUUGCUCUCAACUCCCAUUAUAUUUCUCUUUGCAACUUCAGCUGCUGAAGUAGCACUCAUGCGAGCUCCUUUAGCUGGACUUGGAGACAAAGGCUGACUUAGUUGGGGCUGUGUGGGGAUAUUAACUCUACCAAUUCCCCUCGGUGGAGCAUCAGCAACAGAUGAGGUUGGUUUACGGGAAGGUAAGGUUGUUGCAUCUUCUUCCUUGGCCGCCACUGGAGACAAACUUCCCAUGCUUUCUGAGGAAGUCUGAACAGGAAUGGAAGUUGAUAAAGCAACUGGUGCAUUUGGAACACUACUGACGGGCACAUUCAAACUUGGACGUUCCCCAACGGGUGUUGAUGGUGCUGAGUGAAGGGCCCCAUUCUUUUGGGGAGGGGUUUUUGGAAGUGUCUCAGAAUUGCUAUCCGGUAAAGUUGUAUCGUCAGUCUUCUCUUGAGAAGUGCUCUGAUGGUGUGUUGGCAAACUUAUGCUCUGAAACAAAGCCAAAAAUAAAGAAACAUAAACAAAAAGUUCUUAAAACAAAAGGAUAUAGGAAUACUUACCCGAACUUGAGAUGCUGACGCUGCCACAGAACUCUUCAUGCUCAGAGGAGUACCCUGAAAAAAUUUAAGUCGUGUUACUGCUAAUAUAACGCCAAAUGUCCUGAAUUUAUCCCUUUCAAAACGAUUCCUCAAUUUGUGACAGAUACAGCAUUUCAUGUUUCCGGAGAGAGAGAAAGCAAAUAGAAAAUUUGAAAGAAAAAGUUACCUUGACGAGGGGGCCAGCAGUUACUAGAUCUUCAAGACCCUCCACCUCAUCUAGUGGCAACGUGCUAUAGAGCUCAUCAACAUCACUGAAUUCGUCAAAAUCAUCCUACAUAAUCCAGGAGAAAUAUUAGCCUACUGAUAAAAUUGGAAACCCACAGUAAAUCAUAUGAACACACAUCUAAGCAAAAUAUUCCAGGUUAUAGAUAACGCAGACCUGAUUUCGUUCAACAUAAUCAUCCAGAAAAUCUUUGACGUCAUUUACUUGUUCUGGACUUAAUUCAUCAUUGUCCAGAAGCCUCAAUAUCAAUUCCAACUUUAUUAUAUGAUCCUUGUGUCUUGUGAUAGAUGUCUCGAGAUGUGUCUAAAAAACAAAACAGAUAUUUGACAAAAUUUACCACAAGGAAGGAAUUAUAGCAUUAGCAUACCGAUGAAUAUUUUACAGAGCUUACCAAUCUGGGCGGCCUUGACUUUCCUUUUUUGACAGAUAGUCCUUCCAACUCAGCUUCAAAGCUAUCAAUCUGCGACUCGAGUUCACUCACCUAUCAAAAGCAAGAAAAUGAGCAGUGAAUCAGCUACAGAAAUGAUUUAUGAUUGACAAUCCGUAAGGAUCUCACCACCUAGUUUCCAUAGCAGAUCAACCUUAUUAGCCUAGGGGUUUGAUAAACACCACUAACAUAAAUUCGCUUUGACGUUUCUCUUAAGGGGUUCAAGAAUAAGAAAUUAAGCAUGGAGGCGCCAGUAACUUACCACAUUGUUCAACCAAUCUCUUGUUUCUGACUUUGCUUUCUCUUUGGGGUCCUAUUAAACAUGAAGCAGAAACAAUCAGUAGCCUGACUACCAAAAAGAGGUUUAAGUAAUAUGUAAAUCCACCCAAAGUAGUUCCAACAGAUUUCACAAAACCAGAAAUGUUUUGAUUAUCAAUGACAUUGUUAGAAGGAAAAAUAGUUCAUAUCUACAAACACUUAAAUAUCACAUUUAAUUUAGAUGAAGAAUAAAUAAAUCAAAGGAAACACAACGUUUUGGAGAAACUCUUACAGUUUUAGGUUGCUGACCCAGUCCUUCCUUAGAGAAUGCUUUUGUCUUGGUCUCUUUCUCACAUAUUUUAAACCUCUCCAUUUCUCGCUCAAUGAGCUUCCGAGCGUCAACCAGGGAUUGCUCAUAUGAUGCACUCACCUAAAUCAAAUGACAGACAAAAAAAUCUGGCUUAGUUCAAUCUAGAACAAACGGGUAGUAAGAUUCCUUCAAAAGGUGUAGAAGAUGAAGGAAGAACACUGACUUUUUUAUCUUUGAUCUCACUAGACUGAAUCCAAGUCUUGAUCUGGUCCCUAUACCGCUGCAGCUUCUUAAUCUCCUUCUUCAAGUCAGCCUCAAACUUUUCCUUUUGGUUAACAUUAUCCGUAUCAUAGACCUGAAACACACCAAAAAAGAGCCCGGGUUGGUUGGUUUGUCCUCUGUCCAAGUAAUAAAACUUUAUUCUGCGUGUCGAAAACAAACACUCUGCUCACAUUCCACUGCAUAAAACAACAAACAUGGAGCUCCCAUUUUUGAGUUCCACUGACCAAAACAACUUUACUCACAAACAAACAAACAAAAAUUAAUGUUUCAAUCGCAUCAAAACCAUUCCAUUGCUUUAAAUGCAAACAAUCAUCUCGAACACUCCUUCAGUAAACUCAAUCCUAUAUUUCGAAGCUAUAUACUAUAGAUCUUCCUGCAUUAUCCAUAUCAUUCGAAUUCAAAUAUGAAACGAUAGGAGGUGAUCGAGGCCCAGGGAAAAGCUCUACCUUGUUCCAGAUGCUGUCGAAGACAUCAACACCUUCCUGAACCUUCUUCAGCACCCGAUCUAUCUCGCCUUGUAGCUUCCGACUCGCUCCCAUUACAGCUCAGCCAGAGAAGUAUUAGGGUUUCCUCUGAUUCGAUUGGUGAAUAGAAGUUAGGGUUUCACUUUCAGAGGAAGACGAUGAU
rnacentral:lncRNA from 1 species